UCAGGCGCCUCCCAUCCCAGGUCAGAGGGUAAAUUCCAAGCCCUGCUUUGUAAAGCCCCUUCAGCCCCUUCACUCAGCGCAAAGGCAGCACCAUGGUCAUGAUCUUUGGUUACUGGGACAUCCGCGGGCUGGCUCACGCCAUCCGCCUGCUCCUGGAGUACACAGACUCACACUAUGAGGAAAAGAAGUACACGAUGGGGGAUGCUCCGGACUAUGACAGAAGCCAGUGGCUG